CCUGGCGGCAUGCUUACACAUGCAAGUCGCACGGGCAGCAAUGUCAGUGGCGGACGGGUGAGUAUCGCGUAGGAAUGUAUCCUGAGGUGGGGGACAACCCUGGGAAACUGGGGCUAAUACCGCAUAUGGACUGAGGUCCAAAGCCGUGAGGCGCCAUGGGAGCAGCCUGCGUCCGAUUAGGUAGUUGGUGGGGUAAAGGCCUACCAAGCCUGCGAUCGGUAGCUGGUCUGAGAGGACGAUCAGCCACACUGGGACUGAGACACGGCCCAGACUCCUACGGGAGGCAGCAGUGGGGAAUAUUGGACAAUGGGCGCAAGCCUGAUCCAGCAAUGCCGCGUGGGUGAAGAAGGUCUUCGGAUUGUAAAGCCCUUUCGACGGGGACGAUGAUGACGGUACCCGUAGAAGAAGCCCCGGCUAACUUCGUGCCAGCAGCCGCGGUAAU
rnacentral:rRNA from 1 species